UUAAAAUAGGCUAGUAACCAAAACGAUGUA
rnacentral:piRNA from 1 species